UCCCUUUUUAGUAACAGAGUCUUUUUAUUGAUAACUUCCCAACAGCAUCUGUAAACAUCGGGUACAAAAAUAUUCCGUUUAACUCUGUUUUCUAAGGUGGCUCAGCUUGCUCCAUGGAGGUCCUGGGAGAAGCCUGCUGGGCCCUGAGGGUUCACACCUCUGGCCAGAGAAACACAGACCUCAUCAGGCUUGCAGCUGAAUGGCCCGCCUCCAUCUUGAGCCUUCUACAACUGUCUCAGAAGCCUCCUUGACAUACCAACUGGAGACAGCAUUCAAUACUUUUGUUGGAGGAAAGGGCAGGGAGACCAGAAUUAGUAGGUACAGGGAUGGGUUGGGGUGAACUCAGACAUGACAGUGCUGAUCCACUUUGAGGUGGUCUUGACCAGGGCAUCGGGGCAGGGGCCUUCUGGCUCUGGUCUCUGGGAGCCUUUAGCUGUUUAGAGCAGACCUCAAGCCUGGCUCUGGAAAAGCUCCCUUAUGCCCAGCCCAUAACUCCAGCUGAGCUGGUCAUCCCCUGGCCUGGCAGAGGGGUCUGCAGAAGACAGAUGUUCUCAGUGAGGAGGAAUUGGGAAUGAUAGACCCCCCAGGAACUCCACACCCCUGGAGGGAGUCUUGUCCCCCAGGAGCCCUGGGUGACAGAACAGGGUGGCAAAGCUGUUGAUCUCCAGGCAGGGCUACGUACUGCCACCUCAGACACCUGGGGAGAGCUGCCACUUCCCUGAGACCCCUCGGGGCGCCAGGGAGUAGGGUUACUCCCCCGGUGUCUCCUCAUCGUCCGUCUGGCUGCGGCCAUUGAUGGCAGGAGAGCUGGACCGGACAUGGGAAAGGUCCUCGAAGCCAGGACUGAGGGAGGGUGAGACAGUGUCAGGGCUGGU
rnacentral:lncRNA from 1 species